GGUGGGAUAGAGAUGGSCACGSSCAAGAUUAGAUAGUUGGUAGGGUAACGGCCUACCAAGUCAGUGAUCUUUAGGGGGCCUGAGAGGGUGAUCCCCCACCAYUGGUACUGAGACACGGACCAGAYUCCUACGGGAGGCAGCAGUGAGGAAUAUUGGACAAUGGGUGAGAGCCUGAUCCAGCCAUCCCGCGUGAAGGACGACGGCCCCUAUGGGUUGUAAACUUCUUUUGUAUAGGGAUAAACCUUUUCCACGUGUGGAAAGCUGAAGGUACUAUACGAAUAAGCACCGGCUAACUCCGUGCCAGCAGCCGCGGUAAUACGGAGGGUGCAAGCGUUAUCCGGAUUUAUUGGGUUUAAAGGGUCCGUAGGCGGAUCUGUAAGUCAGUGGUGAAAUCUCAUAGCUUAACUAUGAAACUGCCAUUGAUACUGCAGGUCUUGAGUAAAGUAGAAGUGGCUGGAAUAAGUAGUGKAGCGGUGAAAUGCAUAGAUAUUACUUAGAACACCAAUUGCGAAGGCAGGUCACUAUGUUUUAACUGACGCUGAUGGACGAAAGCGUGGGGAGCGAACAGGAUUAGAUACCCUGGUAGUCCACGCCGUAAACGAUGCUAACUCGUUUUUGGGUUUUCGGAUUCAGAGACUAAGCGAAAGUGAUAAGUUAGCCACCUGGGGGAGUACGUUCGCAAGAAUGAAACUCAAAGGAAUUGACGGGGGCCCGCACAAGCGGUGGAUUAUGUGGGUUUAAUUCGAUGAUACGCGAGGAACCUUACCAAGGCUUAAAUGGGAAUUGACAGGUUUAGAAAUAGACUUUUCUUCGGACAAUUUUCAAGGUGCUGCAUGGUUGUCGUCAGCUCGUGCCGUGAGGUGUUAGGUUAAGUCCUGCAACGAGCGCAACCCCUGUCACUAGUUGCCAUCAUUYAAGUUGGGGACUCUAGUUGAGACUGCCUACSCAAGUAKAAGAGGAAAGGUGGGGGAUGACGKCCAAAUCAUCACCGGCCCUUACUGCCUUGGGSCACACACCGUAAUAACAAUGGSCGCGGUACARAAGGGCR
rnacentral:rRNA from 1 species